rnacentral:rRNA from 1 species
AUUUGCUAUCUGGAGAUGGGGAGAUAGUGGCGAAAUACUUUUCGCACUGGUUGAUAGCUGGUUAUUCCGGAAAUAUAUCUAAGUAUAGCUCUUCGGUUGAUGGGGUUUACAGUUUAAUAAUUCUAAUAGUAUUUAGGGUGUUCUAUCGAAGGAGUCAGCCCCCUCAGGCUAAGCUGAGGGGGCUAUUUUAAAGGAUGGUUAACUAAGAAUGGAAAGGCUAAGAAGUGGGCUUGAAGGAGCUAUCUUUACAGAGUGGGUUAAACCACAAAUGGGCCUUGUACAAUAAAUCAAAUCUUACCUAUCUUUGUGUUGUACGGAAUCUCUUUUUGAAACAAUAGUCAUAGAGGUGAUAAUGUAAAGAUGAGUAGUCGAGAAGUUGUAAGUGUUUUAAGGUCGGGGAGAGAAACGUAAAGGUAUGUUCCGUAUCUUUAAAAAAAGCUAAAGGAACUCGGCAAAUAAGGGGACCGCCUGUUUAUCAAAAACAUGGCUCCCUGAGCAAUAUUGGGGGUCGUGCCUUCCCGGUGAGCUUGC